rnacentral:rRNA from 1 species
UACGAAGGGGGCUAGCGUUGCUCGGAAUGGCGUGGGCGUAAAGGGCGCGUAGGCGGAUGGUACAGUCAGAUGUGAAAUUCCCGGGCUUAACCUGGGGGCUGCAUUUGAUACGUAUUGUCUUGAGUCGGAAGAGGGUCGUGGAAUUUCCAGUGUAGAGGUGAAAUGCGUAGAUAUCGGGAGGAACACCAGUGGCGAAGGCGACUUCCUGGCCUGUUCUUGACGCUGAGGCGCGAAAGCUAGGGUAGCAAACGGG